AAACAUAAAACUUGAAAAGCAUCGAUUUUGGGGUAUUCGUUUAGCGUGUGUAGCAGGUGCAGGAAUCUGAUUCAAGCCUGGCGGCAGUUGCAUUUAUAGUGUUUCCCCAUUUCAGCAUCUUUAAUCUCAGCUCAAAAUGGAGGCGCAGAGUUCUCGAGAGCCUGACCCAUCCGCCCUCACCACCCGGCUCCGUCCGAGGCCCGAUCCCUUCCUCAUCACCUGCCGCUGCUUCAGCGUCAUCACUGCUCUCGCCGCCAUUCUCUGCAUCGCCGUCAACAUCCUCUCCGCCGUCCAAUCUUUCAAGAACGGAUCUGAUAUAUUCGAUGGGAUAUUCCGGUGUUACACGGUGGUCAUUGCCUCGUUUGUGGUUGUUGCUGAGACUGAGUGGGAAUUCAUCAUGAAGUUCUCCAAGAUCCUCGAGUACUGGGCAGGCAGAGGGAUGCUGCAGAUCUUUGUUGCAGUGAUGACCCGAGCUUACCCUGAGUAUUUAAAGGACCAUGCCGAGCUUUUUCUUCUCCAAAGUAUCUCUAGCUACCUGCUUCUUGCAUGUGGUGUGGUUUACAUUAUAUCAGGAAUGUGCUGCAUUGGCAUGGUGAAACGUGCUCGCCAGAAAAAAGAAAUCUCCAGAGAGCAAGCAAUAAAGGAUCUUGAGGUCUAUACAUGACGUCAUCGACCUACAACAACCUUUGAAGCCCCUGAAACAGAACCAAAUACAAGCUCAUGUCCACUGCCACAAUCAUCUUCGCCUCCAGCUUCUGAAGAUGCAGUUUCUCCUGAUGAGUUACCCAUAGCCAUUCGCAAAGUUAUUCCAACUUCUUACCAAGAGGCACUUAAACACCCUCUAUGGCGAGCCGCUAUGGAUGAGGAGAUGCGAGCUCUCUUGGGUCGUGGUACUUGGAUAUUGGUGCAUUGCCCUAAUUCGGUAGAUAUUGUAUCUUGUCGUUGGGUGUUUACCAUAAAAUUUCUUGCUGAUGGUAGUAUUGAUCGAUACAAAGCUCGGCUUGUGGCCAAAGGAUACACACAAACUUAUGGUAUUGACUACUUUGAGACGUUCUCGCCCACUGCUCGUAUGAACUCAAUCCGAAUUCUGAUCUCUUUGGCUGUUAAUCUUUCGUGGCCCAUGUACCAGCUUGAUGUGAAGAAUGCUUUUUUGUAUGGUGAUUUGACUCGGACGGUCUUUAUGGAGCAACUUCCGGGAUAUGUUGCUCAGAGGGGGAUGCUACUAAGGUUUGUUGUCUCAAAAAGGCAAUUUAUGGCCUUAAACAAAGUCCCAAGGCGUGGUUUGAUAAGUUCAGUAGUGUUCUUGGAACUAUUGGUUUUAAGCAAUGCAAGUCUGAUCAUUCGGUCUUUAUACGACAUCAAGCAUCGGGUAUUGCCAUUCUCAUUGUGUAUGUUGAUGAUAUACUCAUAUCUGAAAGUGAUGUUCGUGGAAUUGAGGAAACUAAGAAAUAUUUGCAUCAACAUUUUGUUAUCAAGGAUCUGGGGCGUCCUAAGUAUUUCUUGGGAAUUGAAAUUGUACACGGAAAUUCUGGAAUGUCUCUAUCUCAGCAAAAGUAUGCUAUAGAUUUAAUGAAAGAAACUGGACUACUUGGAACAAAGCCUGUUGAUACUCCUAUGGAGGUUAAUCCAAGUGUUUGGGAUGAUAGUGGAGAAUUCUUGGAGGAUAAAGCUAAGUAUAGACGUCUAGUUGGAAAACUUAUCUACUUGACAGUAACAAGGUCUGAUAUUUCCUUUGCUGUUGGUUUAGUCAGUCGUUUUCUGGAUAAGCCUAAGCAAGUUCAAUGGGAUGCUUCUAUUCGAAUUCUUCAAUAUAUCAAGAAAUCUCCCGGCAAAGGAUUGUUAUUUAAAAAGAAUGGUCAUCUAAAAAUUGAAGGAUAUUCUGAUGCUGAUUAUGCUGGUUCUAAGUCUGAUAGAAAGUAUACUUUUGGAUAUUGCACCUAUUUGGGAGGAAACCUAGUAACUUGGCGAAGUAAGAAACAACAUACUGUUGCGAGAUCGUCUGCCGAGGCCGAGUAUAGAGCUAUGGCUCAUACUGCUACUAAGAUGAUUGGAGUCAAGAAUCUACUUGGAGAAUUGGGGUUCACUUUCAAUUAACCUUUACCGAUGUAUUGUGAUAACCAAGCAGCAAUCUAUAUUGCGAACAAUCCGGUUUUUCAUGAGAGGACUAAACAUAUUGAAGUUGAUUGUCAUUUCAUUCGAGAGUGUGUUUUGAAUCAGACAAUUAUUACUCUUUUCACUUCAUCGUCCAACCAGAUUGCUGAUAUCUUCACAAAACCUUUGCCUGUGAAGCGUUUCUCAGAACUUUGUACCAAGCUGGACAUGAUCAAUAUAUAUGAUCCAGCUUGAGGGGGAGUGUUAAUAUAUUAUAUGUAUUCUUCCUCUCCGAUGUAACAUAGUCUAGCUUUAAUAUAUUAUAUGUAAACUAUAUAUAUGUGGCCUAUGUUUACUAAUGAAAUAGUAUACAACUAUUUUCUCCA